CUACUGUCUGCUAACUAAACCAUCACUUUAAGUGCAUCUUUGGAUGUUACUCAUUGUGUAACUUUGACAUCUGGCCUCAAAUCAAGUAGGACUACCCGCUGAACUUAAGCAUAUCAAUAAGCGGAGGAAAAGAAACUAACAAGGAUUCCCCUAGUAACGGCGAGUGAAGCGGGAAGAGCUCAAAUUUGAAAUCUGGUGGCCUCAGGUCAUCCGAGUUGUAAUCUAUAGAAGUGUUUUCCGUGCUGGCUCAUGUACAAGUCCCUUGGAACAGGGCGUCAUAGAGGGUGAGAAUCCCGUCCUUGACAUGAACUACCAGUGCUCUGUGAUACAUUUUCAACGAGUCGAGUUGUUUGGGAAUGCAGCUCAAAAUGGGUGGUAAAUUCCAUCUAAAGCUAAAUAUUGGCGAGAGACCGAUAGCGAACAAGUACCGUGAGGGAAAGAUGAAAAGCACUUUGGAAAGAGAGUUAAACAGUAUGUGAAAUUGUUGAAAGGGAAACGAUUGAAGUCAGUCGUGCUCUUUGGAUUCAGCCGGUUCUGCCGGUGUACUUCCUUUGAGUGGGGUCAACAUCAGUUUUGAUCGCUGGAUAAAGGCUGGAGGAACGUAGUACCCUCGGGUAAACUUAUAGCCUCCUGUCACAUACAGUGGUUGGGACUGAGGAACGCAGCACGCCUUUAUGGCCGGGAUUCGUC
rnacentral:rRNA from 1 species